UGAGAACUCACUCAUCAUAGC
rnacentral:piRNA from 1 species